rnacentral:rRNA from 1 species
GCAGCCGCCGCGGAAAUACGAAGGGUGCAAGCGUUACUCGGAAUUACUGGGCGUAAAGCGUGCGUAGGUGGUUGUUUAAGUCUGCUGUGAAAGCCCUGGGCUCAACCUGGGAAUUGCAGUGGAUACUGGGCAACUAGAGUAAGGUAGAGGAUAGUGGAAUUUCCGGUGUAGCAGUGAAAUGCGUAGAGAUCGGAAGGAACAUCUGUGGCGAAGGCGACUAUCUGGGCCAUUACUGACACUGAGGCACGAAAGCGUGGGGAGCAAACAGGAUUAGAUACCCCCGUAGUCCCUGUCUCUUAUAC